rnacentral:rRNA from 1 species
AUGGGGGAAACCCUGAUGCAGCCAUGCCGCGUGUGUGAAGAAGGCCUUCGGGUUGUAAAGCACUUUCAGUUGUGAGGAAAAGUUAGUAGUUAAUACCUGCUAGCCGUGACGUUAACAACAGAAGAAGCACCGGCUAACUCCGUGCCAGCAGCCGCGGUAAUACGGAGGGUGCGAGCGUUAAUCGGAAUUACUGGGCGUAAAGCGCACGCAGGCGGUUUGUUAAGCUAGAUGUGAAAGCCCCGGGCUCAACCUGGGAUGGUCAUUUAGAACUGGCAGACUAGAGUCUUGGAGAGGGGAGUGGAAUUCCAGGUGUAGCGGUGAAAUGCGUAGAUAUCUGGAGGAACAUCAGUGGCGAAGGCGACUCCCUGGCCAAAGACUGACGCUCAUGUGCGAAAGUGUGGGUAGCGAACAGGAUUAGAUACCCUGGUAGUCCACACCGUAAACGCUGUCUACUAGCUGUGUGUGCCUUUAAGGCGUGCGUAGCGAAGCUAACGCGCUAAGUAGACCGCCUGG